rnacentral:misc_RNA from 1 species
GAUGAAGAACGCAGCGAAAUGCGAUACUUGGUGUGAAUUGCAGAAUCCCGCGAAUCAUCGAGUUUUUGAACGCAAGUUGCGCCCGAAGCCAUUCGGCCGAGGGCACGUCUGCCUGGGUGUCACGCAUCGUUGCCCCCCCAAACUCCGGUUCGGGCGGGGCGGAAGUUGGCCUCCCGUGCGUGCCUGCGCGCGCGGUUAGCCCAAAAGCGAGUCCUCGGCGACGAGCGCCACGACAAUCGGUGGUUUUUUUACCCUCGUUCCUCGUCGUGCGUGCCCCGUCGCCCGAACGCGCUCUUGCGACCCUUACGCGUCGCCUCGGCGGCGCUCCCACCGCGACCCCAGGUCAGGCGGGACUACCCGCUGAGUUUAAGCAUAUCAAUAAGCGGAGGA